AAGGAGAUGUUGGUCGAAGGAUUCGGGAUGAAAUACUUGUUAUUCAGAGAAAGAAUAAUUGCAAAGAUGGAAUGAUGGAGGAAUGACACCAAAAAUUACACAAUAAUACUAGACCUGAUGAUGUUGUGAUCUGUCAGAUAUUUGAUGACACGUCUUUAAUGGAGCAACAUGUCAUAAAGGAU